CUAGAAUAAAGCCGAUAAGCAAACAAAAAAAAGUGAGCUUUAGACCUGGUAAGAUUUUUAGGUGGCCCAGGGAAUUUUGCUCAUCCCCAAGACAUCGGUGUUUAUAUGAAUAAGGAUCUUCCUGCUCUGUCAUGCGAGCACAAUUUUCCUUCCUUCCCUUUCCCUGGCUCCAUUCUCUCUUUUUCUUUUCCCUUCCAUUGCUCUUAAAUAGCAAAAAUGAGGCUUCUUGCUUUGCAGAGGGCCUACUGAGCCAUGCAGGCCACCGCAGUGGAUUCUUCCCAGCCAGCUUUGCCAAGCAGGCUUCUGGACUGUGACUCGUUUUUCCCCAAAUCACUGCUCCUCCUGGCAGACCAGCCAGUCCCUCCCACACUCCUGCCUGGGCACAAAUGCAGGUCCCUGCCUGGCACAGCCAUUCAUCUUCUGAAGGACAUGAAAGAUGCCUCACUGACACCUGUUUUUCUUCUCUCACCUCCCCAUCCCUCAUUCCAGCCAUCCACACCGAACUCCCAGGAGGACCUCCAUUGUCCCUGGUCUCCUGGUGGACACCGAGGAGUGCAAGACAGCUGAAGGAACUUCAUUACAUAUUUGGAGGAUGCACUAAUUCCAAUGUCACCGUUAAAUUCCUUCUGUCUAAUACUUUUUCCUGAACUGAAUACUUCAUUCUUCUUCAAGGACCAGCUUUAACGUAUGCAGGGCCCUGUGUGAAAUCAACACAGCAUAAUCACAGAGGAAAAUUAUACAGAGGGGAGUAUUGGAAGCUGGAAUUAUGAAAACUAUAUAUAAAAAAAUCCAGACCCAUGCUGACUCCUUUCUACUUCCAGCCAUUUAUCUAGACCUUGGCUAGCAGCACAAAUAAAGAGCAAAUUAGUUGGAUUUGCACCAUUACAAAGUAAUCUUAAAAGAAUUUAUUUUACAGCUCUCUAAUCAUUCCCUAAUCAUUAGUAGCUCAGUCUACAACCAGAUUGUGCAAUGUGCUUUCACGUGGGUUUGAAAUUUAAAACAGGUAGAAUGAUCUUUCACACUAAAACUGCUUCCAGAAGCUGGUGAUGGCCUAAAGUGAGGUGUUUUAGGGGGAAGGAUAGCAUCCUUAAACCUGUUUUACCUUGUCUCUCACCUCUCAGUGAAUCAGGACACAGGAAAAUCUUUCUCUAUGUUUUCCCUAAAGCCAAGUACCCUGAUUUAGACCAUUUUUGGACCAGGGACUAAAAUGCUGUCACUGUCCAAAGCAAUGGCAAAACUCAGAAAAGUCAAUCUCCAAAUGAUGUCUACAGUUUUGAAAGGAAAAAAAUAAGACUAAGACAGAGGGAAAGCCAAAGGACUACCUGUGAUGUUCAAGAAUAAAGCAGCUGCAGACUGGAAACAAAAGCCCCUUUAAAUGAAAGCUGGAGUCCCCAAAAUCUAAGGCAUCCUGCUUAAUGAGGCUCUUCUGCAAAACACAGGUAACAAAUGAUAUGGUGAGGCAGCUCCUGGGGUUUAUUUUCUUGUUUAUUUGUCUGUUUCUGAGCAGCCAAAGAAAACUUCUCCAGGGACAUGUUUGAUUUCUCUCUGCAGUCUGGGCUGGAAUAUUGAUCCUGGAGAAGAGAUGGGUGUUUUGUGUCUGUGUGUUGGAGAAGAGAUGUGAGUUUUGCGUAUAUGAGCUUUGUGUAUGAGAGUAUGUGCAAGCUUGUAGGAAUGCAGAAACGGUGAGAAGGCUUGGAAUUCACCUGACAGCCUGUCCUGGGGUGACUGUAUGAUACUG
ensembl:lncRNA